UUAAGUUCAGCGGGUAUUCCUACCUGAUCCGAGGUCAACCAUUCGGUGUUGGAGGUUUUACAGCAGGACCCGUGGUGCCCACAGAAGCGAGAAGGUAGUGCUACUACGCUUAGAAGCUGCCACGGCUCCGCUGGGAGCUUUGGGGGACCGCCUGGGCGGAUCCCCAACGCUAGGCAGAAGGCCUAGGAGUGGUCGUAAAU
rnacentral:misc_RNA from 1 species